rnacentral:rRNA from 1 species
CUAUAACAGAGAGAAGCGAAACCGAGAGGUCAAGCAAAACCCAAAAAAAGUAGUCACAGUUCGGAUUGAAGGCUGAAAUUCGCCUUCAUGAAGCCGGAAUUGCUAGUAAUGGCAGGUCAGAAUACUGCCGUGAAUACGUUCCCGGGCCUUGUACACACCGCCCGUCACACCAUGAGAGUUGGGAAUACCCGAAGCCCGUGAGCUAACCGAAAGGGAGCAGCGGUCGAAGGUAGAAUCAAUGAUUGGGGUGAAGUCGUAACAAGGUAAC